CUCAUGGCCUAUUUUAUCCCCCUUCUGUUUCCCAAUUCUCUACCGUUGUCUUUAAUCGUCCUUGCUAGAGUAACGUCUUUCUGCUAGUUUGACGUUCAUUAGAUAAGCAAGUUUGUUUCGUAUACGAUUUUGGUUUAUUCUAAUUAUCAAAUUACUUGACAUUAUAAUUUACUUUUUUAUCUGUAUGCCUUGCGUACGUUUUCAUCUUUUAAAAUUUUCCAUGAAUGUUUCUGUAGUCUUCCUACAGUUAUUGGUAAUGCAAAUACCUUUCUUUAUUUUAAUAUCCACAAAAUGGUAUUUGUCUUCAAGCUUCAAUUUUAGCUGAGAAUAGAAAUGUGAACAAUGACAGAAUAUUUACAAGUGACAUAUAAUAUUCAAUUUAACAUCUCUUAUGAAUAAAGUAAGACGAAAUUGACUUAUCUUGGUGGUGAUGCGGGGAUGUGGAUCUGUUUUGAUCCUAUAGGAAGCCGAGAAGGCUGGCAUGCUUUUAUUUUAUUUUGCAUAUUUAUUUAUUGGACUUCUUUUGGUAUUGAUGGCAGUUUAACAAAUGCAGCUGCAUUUAAUGUCCCUCAUAAUACCGUUACAUCAGAUAUAUCACUACCACUUUCAACACAUCAUGAAGAUGACGAAUGUAGGAAUGUGACUACUGAUAAUAGAGCUACUACUGGUCUAUCAGUGAUCAAUCAAGGAUCUGGUUCUCCUCAUUCGCCAAUAGUGCCUCCAACUUUUCUGUACGGAGUUCUUACCUGCCAACCAUAUCAAGGAAUUUCUGUGAACCACAUCUAUUUUCAACUAGCAAAUGCCUUCUUUCUAUUGUCACAUCUUGCACCAAGUGGCAUACAUGGCGUACUUUAUUUAAGGUGCACUCUGCUUGUGGGCUGUGCCUUUCUUGCUUUAUGGGGCUGGACAAUAGCUUGUUGGUUGGAUGCUGCUCUCUGGAAUGCUCUGUUUGUUGCCAUCAACUUCAUCCAUGUAUGCACGCUUCUUUACAAGCUCAGGCCUAUCAAGUUUUCAAGGGAAAUUGAAGAGGUAUAUAUUGCAGUAUUCCAGCCAUUAAGAGUAUCACGUCACCAAUUCAGGAAAGUAUUAAAUUGUAUGAAGAUUAUUCGACAAUUGAAAUAUCAAGAAGUUUAUGCCCAAGAAAAAGUGACCAAAGUUGAUUCUUUAUCUUUAGUACUUUCUGGAAAGUUAGUAGUUUCGCAAAAUGGAAGAGCAUUGCACAUUGUCUUCCCACAUCAGUUCCUGGAUUCUCCAGAAUGGUUUGGUGUUUCUACAGACGAGUACUUUCAGGUAUCAAUAACUGCUAUGGAAGAAUCAAGGAUAUUAUUAUGGCAUAGAGACAAAUUAAAAUUAAGUAUAAUUAGUGAUCAAUUUCUGCAGGCAGUGUUUGAUCAUAUUUUGGGAAGGGAUGUAGUCAAAAAAUUGAUGCAGGUUAGUGAAACAAUGGCUGCUAGCAGUCAUCAACAGCAAAAUGGACAAGUAAUUGGUUUAGGUGGUAUUGGAGCCUUAGAAAAUGAUCCUGACACCAAACUUUUUGUUGUGAAAAAGACUGGUGAUAGUCAAGGUAUCACUGCUCUCAUCAGUCGUCAACUUCAAGAAGAGAGAAUGCCGCUGCUGUACACGACUCAGGAAGUGUUGAACAACACUUUGCAUCAUAUUAAUCACCUACGUACACUUCCUUUACAUCCUGUACAACACAGCAAUGUUCAGUCUUCCUUAUAAUAUUCUUGUGACACAAACUGUGCAGUAAUUAGCACAAAUUUGUACGUGAUAUAUGUUAUGUUUCUACAAUGGAUAUCCAUAGUUAUACAAAUAUCAUCGGGUAACUUCAUUUAUUUUCUUCUGAUUAUUAUAUUCAGCAGCAGGAGAUCCAAAUGCAUGGAGAUUGGGAAGAAUUGAAGAGACUGAUCAUGAAACACCUGUUUAAUGAAAUGAAAAUUAGAUGAAUGUCAUCCUCGACAGUCAAUAUAAACUAACACCAGUCUUUUUACAUAACAUAAAAUAAUGAUGAAAUAUAUUCAUCAUUGGAAGAUAUAGUAUGGUGUUCGUGGAACAAUUAAACAUUCUCUUGCCAAUUAAUAAUUUUUCCCACUAGUCAAAUAUGAUUAACAAUGGAAAAAUUUCAUUGUUUAUAGAAUAAUGGUUCCAUCCUAGUUUAUAUAAAGUGAUAUGACUAUAAACAUUACUUUAUGCUUCCAAUAUAUUAUUGAAUACUAUUGAAACUAAUUUAAAUAUGGCUGUUUAUAAUUCACAUUGAUUUUUUUUAACAUGCAUAUAUUUAGUAUUGAUCAAGUAAGACUUUACAUGUGUAAUAAAAUGGAGGUUGUUCAAUCACAACGGCGUAACUUCUUUAAUGAGAAAUCUGUGAUUUAUUGGAAGUGGUAAA